CACUACGAGUUUGAUCAGUGGCUACAGGACGAACGCUGGCGGCGCGCCUAACACAUGGCAAGGUCAACGGGGUGCGUUCGAAUGAAGUUUUCGGAUGGAAUUUGGAUGUACCUAGUGGCGAACGGGUGAGUAACACGUGAAUAACCUGCCUUGUACUGGGGGACAACAGUUGGAAACGACUGCUAAUACCGCAUAAGCGCACAGCUUCGCAUGAAGCAGUGUGAAAAACUCCGGUGGUACGAGAUGGACCCGCGUCUGAUUAGCUGGUUGGUGAGGUAACGGCCCACCAAGGCAACGAUCAGUAGCCGGCCUGAGAGGGUGAACGGCCACAUUGGGACUGAGACACGGCCCAAACUCCUACGGGAGGCAGCAGUGGGGAAUAUUGCACAAUGGGGGAAACCCUGAUGCAGCAACGCCGCGUGAGUGAAGAAGUAUUUCGGUAUGUAAAGCUCUAUCAGCAGGAAAGAAAAUGACGGUACCUGACUAAGAAGCCCCGGCUAACUACGUG
rnacentral:rRNA from 1 species